rnacentral:rRNA from 1 species
GAGGGUUAUACUGUCUCCUUUCUCUAAUCAGUGAAACUAAUCUCCCCGUGAAGAAGCGGGGAUAAAAUUAUAAGACGAGAAGACCCCAUGGAGCUUUAAACCUAGCCACACCCAGAAUCUUUAUACCUAACUAUUAUCUGAACCCUGUAAGCUAGGCUUUAGGUUGGGGUGACCGCGGAGUAAAACAAAACCUCCGCAAUGAACGAAACUACCGUCUUAUCUAAGAAUAACCCCUCUAAGAAUUAGCACUCUAACAUAAAUGAUCCAAUUAUUGAUCAACGGACCAAGUUACCCUGGGGAUAACAGCGCAAUCCACUUCAAGAGCUCCUAUCGACAGGUGGGUUUACGACCUCGAUGUUGGA